GCUACAGAUUUCCAUUAAUCAUCUCUAGAAGGCUCUGAACAUUGAGCAAAAAUUUUAAUUAAGAUAAUUUCAACAGAUCUCUUAGAAUUAUCAGUAAACUGUCCUAUCUGUUGAUAUCAGAAAGGAUGGUAUUGUUUGUCUGGUGCUCUCUCAGUGGUAGGAAAGGUGGAUAAUUUGAGAAAGUUUUACUUUCAUGUAUCAUUUUCUCCUGAUCAAUCAAUAAAUAAUGCAUCGGUGUGAGUGGAAAAACCUUUUCUUCUGGUUCUCCACCUGAAUCAUUGCUCACUCAUAUACAGUGCUAUGGGAGAUGAACAGUAAAUGCCUCUUUCUUCAAAGGAUGCAAGGAGUUGCUGAAAGCUGCUGACCUUACGUUUUAUACCAAUCAAACUUUCCUGAGCUAACUCAAAUGGCAUUUUCUAUCCUUACCUCUUCUGGGUGCCAUGGAAACGGACAUCUAUCCUGUUAUAAAGGCUAGGGAAAGAGCUGCUGAGGGGAGAGCCUGAGUUCUUCUAUCUCAAUUUAUUCUCAGCCUACCCUUCCUCAGAUCACACUUAUCUUCUGCUUAUUCCCUGGAUACAGGUUGUGCUAGUGAAUGGAAAUUCAGUGAUAAAAUCCUCUCCAAUUUCUGUUAGUUAUAAAGAGAAGAUUUUCAACAAUUAAGAUAAGUUUCUCAGAAGCUGAUAGUUCUGUUGAUGCUGUUAAGUAGAUUCAGUCUUUAGAUGAUAUACAUCUAUAAUUUCUUACUGCUGUAUUUACUUAUUGAGAAGGAAAUCCUGACCUUUAACCACAGCUACACCGACAGGGAGAAAAAGUGAUUCCUUGAUUGCAUAGAGGCUAAAAGGAGGUUCCUGAAAGUUUGACAGAAGAUUUAGUUGGGUAAAAGUGUCUGUCUUCUUGAAGAAAAGCAUCAGGCCUACUCAUACUACAGGUAUUAUGCACCUCCUCUUAGUUACCUGAUGUCCGGCAGAUCAUGUCCAGUUUGAUGUCAUCUUGUUUACUAAUCAAUAGCAAUGAGGAAUAUCUUCUGCCUUUGCAUUGACUGCAAAUAAGAGGCACCUCUAUUCUCUGGACAAGAGUGACUUAAUUGCACUGAAGUAAUCAGUGGGAUUUAUCCCUAAACAGCAUAGUCUAAAGAGGUUUCAAAGGCCUUUGUAGGUUUUAGGUGAGUGUCUUGAAUUAUUUUCCUUAAAAUAGUGGUUUUCAAUCUGAAAAUCUCUGUCAUUAUUUAUUAUGAACUUGUAGCAAACCUUGUUCCAUAAUUUACCCAUAAAGGCAGGGAAGGGGAGCUCUCCUCAUGGUUAUAUAAUAAAAACUUAUAAAGCCUACCUAAAGCAGACCAAAGAAGAAGGAGCGCCAUUAAGAAGAAAAACAUCAGCCUCUGACUAACAUGUAUACUCAAAUUCAACAUGGUUUUAUCAGUUCUACCCUUGCUACUUAUGGUCUAUAUUUUUCCUCUAAUUAGAAUAAACUAAAAAGGACAAAUUUUAGCCUAAUGUCUACUGAAAGCUUUCUGGUAAUUAAAUUUGUGUAACUGAGAAAAAAAUGUUUUGAAAAGUAAUACUGAAAGUUUCACAAAGUAAUACUCAUAAGAAAAAAAUAGGAAAAGUAGCACUUAAUGAAUUUAAGAACUGACAAAGCUUUGGCAAGUGAACGAUUUUUAAGUAAGAUACUUCUUCCUGUUGUCUAUAGUGACUCACUUUCUCUUGUGCAAAUUACUCAAGUUACAUCAGUCUGUACUCUUGAGUUUUGUUGACAUCUCUGAGAGGAGGUUCAAGUCCAUGAUUCUGAGAUCAGCAAAACAAAAGAAGUCUUCAAUAUAAAAGUAGGAAUACUUCUUCAGCUGAAAUGGGGAAAAAAAAUGUUUGCUCAGUUAUAAUUCCAGCCAUAGAUUUUAGACUCAAAGAUGGUUUUUGGUUUUCUAUG